rnacentral:rRNA from 1 species
CCUACGGGUGGCAGCAGUGGGGAAUAUUGGACAAUGGGCGAAAGCCUGAUCCAGCCAUGCCGCGUGUGUGAAGAAGGCCUUCGGGUUGUAAAGCACUUUCAGUGGGGAAGAAAGCCUUGGGGCUAAUACCCUCGAGGAAGGACAUCACCCACAGAAGAAGCACCGGCUAACUCCGUGCCAGCAGCCGCGGUAAUACGGAGGGUGCGAGCGUUAAUCGGAAUUACUGGGCGUAAAGCGCGCGUAGGCGGUCUGAUAAGCCGGUUGUGAAAGCCCCGGGCUCAACCUGGGAACGGCAUCCGGAACUGUCAGGCUAGAGUGCAGGAGAGGAAGGUAGAAUUCCCGGUGUAGCGGUGAAAUGCGUAGAGAUCGGGAGGAAUACCAGUGGCGAAGGCGGCCUUCUGGACUGACACUGACGCUGAGGUGCGAAAGCGUGGGUAGCAAACAGGAUUAGAUACCCCGGUAGUG